rnacentral:rRNA from 1 species
CAGGCCUAACACAUGCAAGUCGUACGGUAAGGCCCUUUCGGGGGUACACGAGUGGCGAACGGGUGAGUAACACGUGAGUAACCUGCCCACAACUUUGGGAUAACGCUAGGAAACUGGUGCUAAUACUGGAUAUGUGCUCCUGCUGCAUGGUGGGGGUUGGAAAGCUCCGGCGGUUGUGGAUGGACUCGCGGCCUAUCAGCUUGUUGGUGGGGUAGUGGCCUACCAAGGCGGCGACGGGUAGCCGGCCUGAGAGGGUGACCGGCCACAUUGGGACUGAGAUACGGCCCAGACUCCUACGGGAGGCAGCAGUGGGGAAUAUUGCACAAUGGGCGCAAGCCUGAUGCAGCAACGCCGCGUGCGGGAUGACGGCCUUCGGGUUGUAAACCGCUUUCAGCAGGGACGAAGCUUUUUGUGACGGUACCUGCAGGAGAAGCACCGGCUAACUACGUGCCAGCAGCCGCGGUGAUACGUAGGGUGCGAGCGUUGUCCGGAUUUAUUGGGCGUAAAGGGCUCGUAGGCGGUUGAUCGCGUCGGAAGUGGAAACUUGAUGCUUAACGUUGAGCGUGCUUUCGAUACGGGUUGACUUGAGGAAGGUAGGGGAGAAUGGAAUUCCUGGUGGAGCGGUGGAAUGCGCAGAUAUCAGGAGGAACACCAGUGGCGAAGGCGGUUCUCUGGACCUUUCCUGACGCUGAGGAGCGAAAGCGUGGGGAGCGAACAGGCUUAGAUACCCUGGUAGUCCACGCUGUAAAC